AGAGUUUGAUCCUGGCUCAGAUUGAACGCUGGCGGCAUGCCUUACACAUGCAAGUCGAACGGUAACAGGUCUUCGGAUGCUGACGAGUGGCGAACGGGUGAGUAAUACAUCGGAACGUGCCCGAUCGUGGGGGAUAACGAAGCGAAAGCUUUGCUAAUACCGCAUAAGAUCUACGGAUGAAAGCAGGGGACCGCAAGGCCUUGCGCGAACGGAGCGGCCGAUGGCAGAUUAGGUAGUUGGUGGGAUAAAAGCUUACCAAGCCGACGAUCUGUAGCUGGUCUGAGAGGACGACCAGCCACACUGGGACUGAGACACGGCCCAGACUCCUACGGGAGGCAGCAGUGGGGAAUUUUGGACAAUGGGCGAAAGCCUGAUCCAGCCAUGCCGCGUGCAGGAUGAAGGCCUUCGGGUUGUAAACUGCUUUUGUACGGAACGAAAAGACUCUGGUUAAUACCUGGGGUCCAUGACGGUACCGUAAGAAUAAGCACCGGCUAACUACGUGCCAGCAGCCGCGGUAAUA
rnacentral:rRNA from 1 species